CUGAGUCACCACCCUAAACCCUGACUUAGCCGCGAGAACCCACGUCAGAGAGGCCAAGCCCCUGUACCCUCUGACCCCGGGAUUUACAGGGCUGCCUCUGUCGGGCUCUGUCCAGAGCGGCCGGCCUCCUCCAACUCUUGCAGCCCUGGACUUGCAUUUAAAGCAAGCUUGAAAAGAGCAGGGCAAGAUCGGCUCGGGAGGGGAAGCGAGCACACCUUUUGUUCCCACCUGGCACAAAUGCUGUGGUGUUGCUGAGGGCUGCACAAUAAGGCGCGUUGCCUCACCCGUCCCGGAAGUUUUGAAGAGUGUGUGGCCUGGGCAGGAGGGCCAUCAGCCGGCCUGCAGAAGCUUCCCCAAUCUUCUCACGGAGCAGGAGCCCAGCCCUGAUGCCAGCGCCACAGAUCCACCUCCAUUCUCUCCCUGGAGGCAGAGUAGACACGGGUGGUUUUUUUGUUUUUGUUUUGUUUGGUACCGGGUAUCGAACUCGGGUCCUUGAGCUUGCGAGGCAGGCGGCAGAACCACUGAGCUAAAUCCCCCCCCCCGUUUUUUGAGACAGGGUCUCGCCACGUAGUUCAGGCUGGGCUGGCCUCAAACUCACGGCAAUCCUCCUACCUCUGCCUGAGUGCUGGAAUUACAGGCGUGCACCACCAUGCCUGACUGAGACUCAGAGUUUUAAUUUUAAAAAUUGUUUCAGGGGCCAGGGAUUUAGCUCAGUGUUUCCUUCCCAAGCGCAAGGUCCCGAGUUCGAUCGCUGGUACCAAAAAAAACCCCAAACCAAAACGAAAAAAUAAAAAAAUUGUUAUAGGUGCUGGAAAUUGAACCCAACCCUUCACAGUGAGCCACCCCGAGUCCACUUUUCUAAAAUGUUUGAGGCAGGAUUUUUUGUUUUUUUGUUUUUUGGUGCCGGAGAUCGAACUCGGGACUUUGUGCUUGUGAGGCAAGCGGCAGAACCAGAGCUAAAUCCCCCAUCAAGACAGGAUUUUGAUUGAACUUGAGAAUCUCCCGCCUCAGCCUCCCAGAGUAUUGGGAUUACAGGGGUGCACCACCAUAACCAGUUGAGUCUCAGAUUUGGUAACAGUGUCCCUGGGUUAGGAGACGCCCGGUGAGCAGGGCUGCUUGUCAUUUACAGCUCUGUACAGGCCCCUCUUCCUUUAAGCAGAAACCAGGAGAGCCGGCAAGUUUCUGUUUAUUUUACCUUUGCCGAGCCUCCCUAGGUCCUCCCCAAACCUUUUUAAUAGCUCCCCAUUGCCUCUAGGGGAGUCGGGCUGCUGCUCCGCCCCGGAGAGCCUGGGGGCAGGCCCUAGCCUAUCUGUAGCUUCAUCUUCCUCCCUUGGCCCAGGAGGGGGAAAUCACAUACGUUUCUAAUUACCUCGGAAACGCUCUUAAAUUUUCCAUAAAGUACAGUAUGCCUGGCUUUGUAUACACAACUUUAUACAGUAAUAUGCAUGUGGAUGUGCAAAAUAUACACAGCCACCUAAGGAGGACCAUAAAGAAGACACCAGCCAGCUUAAGCGUGUAAUUUACAGAAUUUAAUCACACUGAAGAGAGGCAGAUACAGACCGGGAAGGAGACUGAGGGAGGCAGCAGCAGAUUUCUGACCUCUCAUCUGUGUCGUGUGGCCCCCCCCCCCCCCCCCCG
rnacentral:lncRNA from 1 species